UUUUUGAUGCAGCUGACUGUUGUUCGACUAGCCAAAAGAGUUGCGUCUGGACCAAAUUUAGUCAAUGAGCAGUUGAGGCAACAGGAUUGGCAUAGACUGAUGCCUGCCUGUCAGGCCAUUUUAUAUCCAGCUUGCUCUUUGCUCGACAAGCGACAAGAGUCGAGUUCUUGCCAGUAAGAAAGGAUUGGAAGGGCAGGGUCGGCUACAGGAUAUAAAGAAAUUGGUUUUUAUGUCAGAACAGGACAUAGUUCAAGUAUAUUCAAAACUUGUUUAUAGCUCCUAUUAUAAAUUCAGGGUCUAGUUAUAUAUAACAAUAAAAUUUACAUGAAAUACA